rnacentral:rRNA from 1 species
UACGUAGGGGGCAAGCGUUGUCCGGAUUUAUUGGGCGUAAAGAGCGUGUAGGCGGCCAGGUAGGUCUGCUGUGAAAACUCGAGGCUCAACCUCGAGACGUCGGCGGAAACCAUCUGGCUAGAGUACGGAAGAGGAGAGUGGAAUUCCUGGUGUAGCGGUGAAAUGCGCAGAUAUCAGGAAGAACACCCGUGGCGAAGGCGGCCCUCUGGGACGGGACUGACGCUGAGACGCGAAAGCGUGGGGAGCGAACAGG